rnacentral:rRNA from 1 species
UACAGAGGUCCCAAGCGUUGUUCGGAUUCACUGGGCGUAAAGGGUGCGUGGGUGGUUGGGUAAGUCUGAUGUGAAAUCUCCGGGCUCAACCCGGAAAUGGCAUUGGAUACUAUCCAGCUCGAGGAUCGGAGGGGGGACUGGAAUUCUUGGUGUAGCAGUGAAAUGCGUAGAUAUCAAGAGGAACACCAGUGGCGAAGGCGAGUCCCUGGACGAUUCCUGACACUGAGGCACGAAAGCUAGGGGAGCAAACAGG